AAACAAAAAAUCAAUACAAAAUAGAAAAAAUAAAAAGAAUUAUCCAUAGCUUUAUAAACAUUUCGGCGCCAAAAAAUAAUGGAAAUGGUCUCUCCCCAAAGUUCAAAAUUGAAAUCUCCUUCCAUGGCAUUCUGAAUCAGUUUUUCGCGUCAGUCAUGGAAAAGGGUCUGAUAUCAGUGGACCGGUGGACUGGAGAGAGCCAGGCCUACUUCCUCACUCACCUCCAUUCCGAUCACACCAAAGGCCUUUCUUCUUCGUGGGCAAAGGGUCCAGUUUUCUGCUCUCGCCUCACCGCUAAGCUCUUCCCCUUCAAAUUUCCCGAGUUCGACCUCUCUCUGCUUCGCAUUAUCCGAAUCGGUUCAUGGCAUUCCAUUUCUCUUGUUUCGCCUUCCAGCGGUUCCAAGAAUGUUAUCCAGUUUAUGGCUAUCGACGCUCACCAUUGUCCUGGUGCUGUUAUGUUUUUGUUUCGUGGAGACUUUGGAUGUUUGCUGUAUACUGGUGAUUUUCGAUGGGAAGCAACUAGUGACAGGGCUAAGAUGGGAAGGAGCAUGCUUCUCAAUGCUCUCAAUGAUGCUGCGGUUGACAUUCUUUACUUGGAUAAUACAUACUGCAACCCAUCAUAUGAUUUCCCACCACGAGAAGUUGCUGCUCAGCAGGUUGUUGAUAUAAUUGCUUCUCAUCCGGACCAUGAUAUCAUCAUUGGGAUUGAUUCUUUGGGGAAAGAAGAUCUUUUGCUUCACAUUUCACGGGUGCUUAAGAUAAAGAUUUGGGUAUGGCCAGAACGCUUGCAAACCAUGCAUCUUCUAGGGUUUGAUGAGAUAUUUACUACUAAGACUUCCCUUACUAGAGUUCGAGCUGUUCCUCGUUACAGCUUUAGCAUUGAAACUUUAGAAGGUUUGAAUUCAAUGCGACCAACUAUUGGGAUCAUGCCAUCUGGUCUUCCAUGGAUGGUGAAACCUUCAGAUAGAAAGGACCAUCUUUUUGGUUCUCUACUAACUACUCGGUACAACAAAAGUAAAUGGGCUGGAAAUGAAAGUGUCCAGAUGAAUAAGCCAAAUGGAAGUUCAGAAUCUCCCAUCAGGCUUCAUAAAUACAUUUAUACCGUUGGUUACUCUGAUCACUCAUCAUUUCAUGAGAUAGAGAAGUUUAUAAAGCUUGUUCAGCCAACCAACAUGAAAGGCAUUGUGUCAUCAUCAUGUUGCUAUGUUGAUCCGAUGUACUACUUUGGCCGCCUUUGCAGGGUAAACCAGCCAACCCAAAGCUUACAUCAAAAGCAAAAAAGGAAAGAGCGAGAUGAAAUAACUUUGGGGACUAAACCAACCUUUGGCAGGAAUUUUGUUACAGAAGUUGAGAGGAGAAGAAAUAGUGUGAAGGUUAAACUUUCAAGUGUACAAGCGAACAGGGUGAGAGCAUAUAGACGAGUAAGAUCUGGUGCAAAGAUUGUAGAUGAUGACUGUCCUGAUUGACUAAUGUUCACAAAUUUCUUUCUUCAUAAUGUGUAUUCUUCAGUUUGUAAAGUGUGGCAAUGGAGUUUUGAUUACUCUCUUUAGAGGCAGCUUGGUAUCUUCUAGAAAGUAAAAAGAGAUCAUACAAGAUCCAUUAUGGUUCUCAAAUAUAUGCACCGUAAAGAACAGCUCUGUUUCAUACACUGUUUUUUUUC